UCGGGUGCGUCCGUUCCUUGAGAACUCAACAGCGUGCACUAUGUUCAAUGCCAAAUUAUUGAACCCCGACCCCAUCGUUUGGUGGGGGGAGGAUUCCUUUGGAUUGAUGGACAGUCAGUUUGAUUGUUCUUUCAGUCAGAGAUUGAAACUCUCAAUGCCUCUUCGGGGGUGUUGGAACCAUUUUUUUUGGAGAGUUUGAUCCUGGCUCAGGACGAACGCUGGCGGCGUGCUUAACACAUGCAAGUCGAACGAUGAACCUGGAGCUUGCUCUGGGGGAUUAGUGGCGAACGGGUGAGUAACACGUGAGUAACCUGCCCUGGACUCUGGGAUAACCCCGAGAAAUCGGAGCUAAUACCGGAUAGGACCUGGAACCGCAUGGUUUUGGGUGGAAAGUUUUUUCGGUCUGGGAUGGACUCGCGGCCUAUCAGCUUGUUGGUGAGGUAAUGGCUCACCAAGGCGUCGACGGGUAGCCGGCCUGAGAGGGUGACCGGCCACACUGGGACUGAGACACGGCCCAGACUCCUACGGGAGGCAGCAGUGGGGAAUAUUGCACAAUGGGCGAAAGCCUGAUGCAGCAACGCCGCGUGAGGGAUGACGGCCUUCGGGUUGUAAACCUCUUUUAGUAGGGAAGAAGGGCUUCGGCUUGACGGUACCUGCAGAAAAAGCACCGGCUAACUACGUGCCAGCAGCCGCGGUAAUACGUAGGGUGCGAGCGUUGUCCGGAAUUAUUGGGCGUAAAGAGCUCGUAGGCGGUUUGUCACGUCUGCUGUGAAAUCCCGAGGCUCAACCUCGGGCCUGCAGUGGGUACGGGCAGACUGGAGUGCGGUAGGGGAGAUUGGAAUUCCUGGUGUAGCGGUGGAAUGCGCAGAUAUCAGGAGGAACACCGAUGGCGAAGGCAGAUCUCUGGGCCGUAACUGACGCUGAGGAGCGAAAGCGUGGGGAGCGAACAGGAUUAGAUACCCUGGUAGUCCACGCCGUAAACGUUGGGCGCUAGAUGUGGGGACCAUUCCACGGUUUCCGUGUCGUAGCUAACGCAUUAAGCGCCCCGCCUGGGGAGUACGGCCGCAAGGCUAAAACUCAAAGGAAUUGACGGGGGCCCGCACAAGCGGCGGAGCAUGCGGAUUAAUUCGAUGCAACGCGAAGAACCUUACCAAGGCUUGACAUAUACGAGAACGCCGCAGAAAUGUGGAACUCUUUGGACACUCGUAUACAGGUGGUGCAUGGUUGUCGUCAGCUCGUGUCGUGAGAUGUUGGGUUAAGUCCCGCAACGAGCGCAACCCUCGUCGUAUGUUGCCAGCACGUAAUGGUGGGAACUCAUAUGAGACUGCCGGGGUCAACUCGGAGGAAGGUGGGGAUGACGUCAAAUCAUCAUGCCCCUUAUGUCUUGGGCUUCACGCAUGCUACAAUGGCCGGUACAAAGGGCUGCGAUGUCGUAAGGCGGAGCGAAUCCCAAAAAGCCGGUCUCAGUUCGGAUUGAGGUCUGCAACUCGACCUCAUGAAGUCGGAGUCGCUAGUAAUCGCAGAUCAGCAACGCUGCGGUGAAUACGUUCCCGGGCCUUGUACACACCGCCCGUCAAGUCAUGAAAGUCGGUAACACCCGAAGCCGGUGGCCUAACCCUUGUGGAGGGAGCCGUCGAAGGUGGGAUCGGUGAUUAGGACUAAGUCGUAACAAGGUAGCCGUACCGGAAGGUGCGGCUGGAUCACCUCCUUUCU
rnacentral:rRNA from 1 species